CCUACGGGUGGCUGCAGUGGGGAAUAUUGCACAAUGGGGGAAACCCUGAUGCAGCGACGCCGCGUGAGGGAAGAAGUAUUUCGUUAUGUAAACUUCUUUCAGCAGGGAAGAAAAUGACGGUACCUGAGUAAUAAGCCCCGGCGAACUACGUGCCAGCAGCCGCGGUAAUACGUAGGGGGCAAGCGUUAUGCGGAUGUACGGGGUGUAAAGGGAGCGUAGACGGUGCGCCAAGUCUGAAGUGAAAUGCCGCAGCUUAACUGCGGAACUGCAUUGGAAACUGGCGAACUAGAGUGCGGGAGGGGUAAGCGGAAUACCUAGUGUAGCGGUGAAAUGCGUAGAUAGUAGGAGGAACACCAGUGGCGAAGGCGGCUUGCUGGACCGUAACUGACGUUGAGGCGCGAAAGCGUGGGGAGCAAACAGGAUUAGAUACCCGAGUAGUC
rnacentral:rRNA from 1 species